UUUAAAGGGUUUCACAGUGCCUCUGUGUCUGAGAGAUGUGCUGGCUUUCUCUGUGUUUUCUGUUUCAUUUACUAAUAGGAUUUUAGGAAUCUCAGUGGUGUUGUGCCCCUCCCCUUUUCAUUCCCAGGCAGUUCCUCCCUCGAUGUUUGUGUGGAAUCUCUAGCCUUUUUACAGACCAGAUUGCCACUAACACCCUGGCUUUCUUCUGCUACCCUACACCAAAGAAGCUACAAGCAAUUUUCAAGUACCCUUAAAACCAUAGCAAAGUGAGGAGAGAUGCUCAAUGAGAACAAGGACUGCAGGACUCUCAUGAAGCUCUCCCCCACAGCAGCUGCAUUUGAAGCUUAAGGUCUCAGUUUAUUUAGCAGCAGUACAGCUCCUUUCCUUUUCUGCUUUCCUAAAUUGUUUCUCAAUCCUGAUGUUCUCUCUUUCAGGAUAUACUCCUGCUUCCAAGUGCCUGCCCACAGCAUUAGCUGGGUUUUAUCUCCCAAAUACAAAUAAUGCUUCCUAUUAAAGGAUUUGCUGGACUAGUCCAUGAGACUGCCACAUAGCAUUUGAUCUGCUGCAGAGCUAACUGUGCCAGCAGCCUCUGAAGUUGGUGAAGAAGUAAAGGUGGUAGGUACAAGAAAAGCUAUUCUGGAUCUACCAGAAUGAAAGUGAAAGUGUCAAGUACUCAGCUGAGAAUUGGAGAAUGGAAGAUACUGUCAGCCUGCGUUUUUUACCUGUGGAAGAGGAUGACAUUCUAUCAAAGCAGAACAACCCCCUUCUUGGUCUGUAAUAUAAUCACAAAACAUUCCCCUACUUCUGACAUUGGAGGAGGAAAACCAAACUCAUGUUUGGGUAGGGAGAGUGGCAACUCAGAAAGUGUCAUGGUAACAUAUCCAUGGAUCCAGGGUAGCUGCCUUGGUGUUUGCUGCUAAUUUGUUCCAGGAAGCAGGGAUCACAGUGGGACUAGGACUCCUGCAUGGAUGAUUGCAGAUGGUGAUUUCCACCUCUGAACCUGUGCCAGCAUGGAGGUAAGUGAAGACACAGCUGUCAAGCCAAGCACGGGCUUCUUGGAAGAGCAGCUGGAGUGAAAUGGGUUGGAAAAGGCUUUAAGGGUUGUUUCUGUGAGAAUUGACUGACUAUCCUGCUGCUUAAUUCCUGUACAAAGAAUAUAUAAAGAAACCAAAGCCUCCAGGUGUCUCCUUUUUUCAGCAGAGUUCAAUUCCUAAAAGACAGCUGGUGUGCCCAUGCCCCAAAGUCAAGGACAUGACUUGUAGGCACAGCCAGAGACUGACUGUCCUCAGGAAAGGAAGAACCAUCACUUUGGAGACAUAGAAGCACACUUCAGCAGAGGAAAUGCCACUGUUCUCACACUUUGGAGCUAAAGUUUGAAACAACUGUGUGGGGGAAUGAACACCUGUGGAAGCAGUGGUUUUCCAGAUCUGUCUCCUAACAAGGAAUUUGGAAUCACUGAAUUGAGGUAGGUUUAGCCCUGUUAUCUUUAGGCUCUCAUCAGUUGCAGUCCAUGUAGCAAACUGCUACAGAACUUUGUUUCUGUUAGACUGAGGGCGAUUUGAGGGGCAGCUAAGUUUUGGAUGAUAAUUUGUAAGUUUAUUUGGAUAAUUUGAAGGAGAAAAAUAAAAGCAGAAUGGGUGGCAGCAAUAUUAUUCAUGGGAGAAUUUGGUUCCUAGGCUGUGGUCUCCGUAAAGGCCUUGAAAUGGGCAGCAUUGGAAGACUGGGAGCAUGGGAGACUUCUGCUGUCCAUCGAUAGUGGACAUCAGCUGUUUGUCACUUUCUUACUCUUUCUUGCCCUUCCCUGUUCAUGUAAAAUGAACACUGACUACUGGAAAUGAUGGUGAGAGCUGGAGACAGCCUUCUGCCUCUUCAGUGACAUUUUCUCUUAGAAAAAAAUUAUACAAAAUGAAAUUCAAAACAAAUCAUGCUAAAAUGCUGUAGACAACUUGCUAAAUCUUCAUUGAGGCAAUUCCUGUGAGCUUUUCUGUCAUUUGAUAGCCGUAUGGCUCUGUUACAGAAAAGUUUUUGAUGUUCUGUAAAGGCUUCCAGUGCCCUUGGUAUUUCAGAGGGGAUAUUUGUGCAACUGCUACUUGCUUCCCCUUCUGGGAAAUGAACGUCACAGCCAAGAGGCUUCACUUACUGAUGAGUGCUGUUACUAUAACAGCUGAAGUCAGCACAACUCUGAAAUAAUGUAAUGAAUCAUAAAGUAAGUACCUCCUGUCCUUGCCAAUGCAAACUCUGGGGUUUUUUUCCUCUUUCUAGAACUGUCAGUGCUCCCUGCCUCUACACAGGUGAGAGGCACUACAUAAGAAUCUUAGACAAAGCUUGGCUUCUCAGCCUUCUUAACCUUAGUAUGCAUUUAAUGCUAUUAAUGGUAACAUCCUUCUUAAAUAUUUAAUGCACUUCCUAGAGGCUUUUCUUUCCUGAUUUCAUACCUGUUUAUCCAGCUGUCCUUCCUGUGACUGGAAGCAAACAUUGCCCAGCAAGCAAAUCUUGCCCCUGUGCCACAUCCCCUUAGAUAGCAGCAGUGCUCCCUCUGCAGCCUGCAUACACAGCUGGCUGCCAAGACAGCCCUUGAGCUGACCCCCACAGAGCCCAGAGGGGAAAGGCCCUUACAAAUUCAACCUCGAGCUGAAAGGCAAGGCAAGCUCCCUCUGGAUAGUCUUUCCUCUGCAUUGAAGACAGGAACACUGGCCAAUAUUUCUGGUGGAGCUGCAUAAGCCAAGACAUGGACUAAGCAGAGGCUGCAUCUUCCAGCUUAACUAAAACAAAACACAGCCCUACCUCAGCUGCAAAAGCCAGUAGGGGCUCCCACCAUCCUCAAGUGCUUCACUGCUUUUGAGCUUGAAUUUCUUUCCCUGAACUUUGAGUUAUUCAGUAGCAAAUUUCGAGUUUCCUGUAUUUCACAAAAGUGUUUUCCAACAAUUACUGCUUCCAACAAGGCGUCUGUUUACACGUUGACAUAAAAAAUGUGUUUUCUUUUUCUUGUUCCCUUGGCUGCAGCUAGUUAGUUCAUUUGGGAUUACAAUGGUAGCACAGUAGGACUUGGUUUGUCUUUUCCUUGCAUGAAAUUUUGUUGAAAGUGUGAAUUGUAAAAGGCAUUGAAAUGAGACAAAGUAAAAUCCAUUUUUAAAAUGAAGGAUGUAAACAUUUUUUUCUCUGUCCCAGCCUCAAAGAUUUAGUCUAAAUCUUUGAAGUUCAGUGGCUUCUGUAGAAAUGUUUAAACUACAGUUUUUCAUCCAUAGAACAGCUUCGUCCAUCUUGCAUCCAAAAGGGUUGAAAUCCCCAAACUCUGGGAUACAUCUGCUAAGAGUGAAAGGCUUCCCUGCUUACCAUGUGACACAGCCAGGCAGUACCUGUCACCUUCCCUCACCAGUGUCUGAAAUACCUGAAUUAACACCAGCACAAAAUAAUGCCAGUACUUGGCAAGGUGUGUGGUCCUAGCAAGGUGGCUGAAAGGCAAAAUCUGGCAUUGUGACAUUAACCUGACACUCAGCAUUGAAUUAUGAAGGACUGUUAAAAGCACCAAACUCAAAUCCUUCCUGCUGCACACAGCAGGUCUCUGGUCCUUGGCGGUGCUGUGCCUCAUUGGCAAUGAAUUUUAAUCCAUUCUCCCUUUUUUCAGAGGAUUAUUUUCUCUCUGCUGUAUUUCCUUCAGUGUCUAAUGUAUGGCAAAAAUUUAUAUUUGAAUAUGAACUAUAUGAACUAAGCUACAGCAUCUGUGCCUUCUAACUGGGGUUGACAUGAUGUAAAGCCUGCACAUUCCUUUUCCAGAUGCCUCUUUUCCUGAUGUUGAGGUCUAUUAAAUAUACAAAGGCACCUGGUCAAAAAAGAGUUGAGAUGGGGGAUAUUUCUCCUAGACAAUUAAAUGAUGGGUCCAAAAUAGGUACUGUUUAACUGUACACGUUAAUAGCUUAACCUACACUAUCUGAUUCCAUGAACUGUUUGAUUGCAUCAGGAAUUCAGUUUGACCUCUCUGAAAGUUAUUAUACUAUCUGGAGUUCAUUUCUUGGUAUUUAUGAUAAAGGUUCCUUGAGGAAAUUAUCUCUAUUGAGGUGAGAAAAGGGCAGGUUAUAUAAAAGAUGCAUAAAUGUUCAGUGGAAUUUUCAGAAUUACAUUCAUAUUUACCUACCACUGAAACAGAUGUCUACAGGUUUUUAAAAUCCCUUGAAGAACUAAGUUAUUUUAAAAGCUGCCUGAACUGAUGUAACAUACAUUGUAUUUUUACAUUCUUAUUCUAAAAUAGAAGCUAGUCAUCAAAACAACAAUUCCAGUCCAUGCCUACAAAUUCUAAAUAACUUCCUCAGCUUCAAUUUACACUGUCUAAAAAAAACCAGAGUUAAGUCUGAGCCUGAUUUUUACAGAUGUUGAUAAGGAGUCAUUAAAAUGAAUUAAAGAUAUCAGAGGCAGGUCCUUAUGUUAAG